GACGAACGCUGGCGGCGUGCCUAAUACAUGCAAGUCGAGCGGACCAAAGGGAGCUUGCUCCUGGAGGUUAGCGGCGAACGGGUGAGUAACACGUGGGCAACCUGCCUGUAAGACUGGGAUAACAUCGAGAAAUCGGUGCUAAUACCAGAUAAUAAAAAGAACUGCAUGGUUCUUUUUUGAAAGAUGGUUUCGGCUAUCACUUACAGAUGGGCCGCGGCGCAUUAGCUAGUUGGUGAGGUAACGGCUCACCAAGGCGACGAUGCGUAGCCGACCUGAGAGGGUGAUCGGCCACACUGGGACUGAGACACGGCCCAGACUCCUACGGGAGGCAGCAGUAGGGAAUCUUCCGCAAUGGACGAAAGUCUGACGGAGCAACGCCGCGUGAGUGAUGAAGGUUUUCGGAUCGUAAAACUCUGUUGUUAGGGAAGAACAAGUGCCGUUCGAAAGGGCGGCACCUUGACGGUACCUAACGAGAAAGCCACGGCUAACUACGUGCCAGCAG
rnacentral:rRNA from 1 species